rnacentral:rRNA from 1 species
GUGAACGCUGGCGGUAGGCCUAACCCAUGCCAGUCGAACGGCAGCACAGUAAGAGCUUGCUCUUACGGGUGGCGAGUGGCGGACGGGUGAGGAAUACAUCGGAAUCUACUUUUUCGUGGGGGAUAACGUAGGGAAACUUACGCUAAUACCGCAUACGACCUACGGGUGAAAGCAGGGGAUCUUCGGACCUUGCGCGAUUGAAUGAGCCGAUAUCGGAUUAGCUAGUUGGCGGGGUAAAGGCCCACCAAGGCGACGAUCCGUAGCUGGUCUGAGAGGAUGAUCAGCCACCCUGGAACUGAGACACGGUCCAGACUCCUACGGGAGGCAGCAGUGGGGAAUAUUGGACAAUGGGCGCAAGCCUGAUCCAGCCAUACCGCGUGGGUGAAGAAGGCCUUCGGGUUGUAAAGCCCUUUUGUUGGGAAAGAAAAGCAGCAGGUUAAUACCCCGCUGUUCUGACGGUACCCAAAGAAUAAGCACCGGCUAACUUCGUG